rnacentral:rRNA from 1 species
AGUGAACGCUGGCGGUAGGCCUAACACAUGCAAGUCGAACGGCAGCACAGUAAGAGCUUGCUCUUACGGGUGGCGAGUGGCGGACGGGUGAGGAAUACAUCGGAAUCUACUUUUUCGUGGGGGAUAACGUAGGGAAACUUACGCUAAUACCGCAUACGACCUACGGGUGAAAGCAGGGGAUCUUCGGACCUUGCGCGAUUGAAUGAGCCGAUGUCGGAUUAGCUAGUUGGCGGGGUAAAGGCCCACCAAGGCGACGAUCCGUAGCUGGUCUGAGGGGAUGAUCAGCCACACUGGAACUGAGAACCGGCCCAGACCCCUACGGGGGGCAGCGGUGGGGAAUAUUGGAAAAUGGGCGAAAGCCUGAUCCAGCCAUGCCGGGUGGGUGAAGAAGGCCUUCGGGUUGUAAAGCCCUUUUGUUGGGAAAAAAAAGCAGCAGGUUAAUACCCCGCUGUUCUGACGGUACCCAAAGAAUAAGCACCGGCUAAUUUCGU